CCUACGGGGGGCUGCAGUGGGGGAUAUUGCACAAUGGCGGAAACUCUGAUGCAGCAACGCCGCGUGAGGGAAGAAGGUAUUCGGAUUGUAAACCUCUGUCCUCAGGGACGAUAAUGACGGUCCCUGAGGCGGAAGCUCCGGCCAACUCCGUGCCAGCAGCCGCGGUAAUACGUAGGGAGAAAGCGUGGUCCGGAUUUACUGGGUGUAAAGGGUGCGUAUGCGGCCCUGCAAGUCAGGUGUGAAAACUAUGGUCUUAACUAAUAGAUUGCACUUGAAACUGUGGGGCUUGAGUGAAGUAGAGGCAGGCGGAAUUCCCGGUGUAGCGGUGAAAUGCGUAGAGAACGGGAAGAACACCAGUGGCGAAGGCGGCCUACUGGGCUGUAACUGACGCUGAGGCGCGAAAGCGUGGGUAGCAAACAGGAUUAGAUACCCGUGUAGUC
rnacentral:rRNA from 1 species